CCUAUACAUGCAAGUCGAGGGGUAACAGGAAGUGCUUGCACUUCGCUGACGACCGGCGCACGGGUGAGUACCGCGUAUACAAUCUGCCUCAUACUAGGGAAUAGCCCGAAGAAAUUUGGAUUAAUGCCCUAUAGUAUCUUUUUAAGGCAUCUUAUUAAGAUUAAAGGUUACGGUAUGAGAUGAGUAUGCGUUCUAUUAGCUAGUAGGUGUGGUAACGGCACACCUAGGCUACGAUAGAUAGGGGCCCUGAGAGGGGGAUCCCCCACACUGGUACUGAGACACGGACCAGACUCCUACGGGAGGCAGCAGUAAGGAAUAUUGGACAAUGGGCGAAAGCCUGAUCCAGCCAUGCCGCGUGCAGGAUGACGGCCCUAUGGGUUGUAAACUGCUUUUAUAUAGGAAGAAAAACUUUCUCGUGAGAAAGCUUGACGGUACUAUAAGAAUAAGGAUCGGCUAACUCCGUGCCAGCAGCCGCGGUAAUACGGAGGAUCCAAGCGUUAUCCGGAAUCAUUGGGUUUAAAGGGUCCGUAGGUGGACAAAUAAGUCAGAGGUGAAAUCCUGCAGCUCAACUGUAGAACUGCCUUUGAUACUGUUUGUCUUGAGUUAUUAUGAAGUGGUUAGAAUGUGUAGUGUAGCGGCGAAAUGCAUAGAUAUUACACAGAAUACCGAUUGCGAAGGCAGAUCACUAAUAAUUAACUGACACUGAGGGACGAAAGCGUGGGUAGCGAACAGGAUUAGAUACCCUGGUAGUCCACGCCGUAAACGAUGGUCACUAGCUGUUUGGAC
rnacentral:rRNA from 1 species